AGUGGCGGACGGGUGAGUAACACGUGAGCAACCUGCCUUUCAGAGGGGGAUAACGUUUGGAAACGAACGCUAAUACCGCAUAAAAUAUCGGAGUCGCAUGGCACUGAUAUCAAAGGAGCAAUCCGCUGAAAGAUGGGCUCGCGUCCGAUUAGGCAGUUGGCGGGGUAACGGCCCACCAAACCGACAAUCGGUAGCCGGACUGAGAGGUUGAACGGCCACAUUGGGACUGAGACACGGCCCAGACUCCUACGGGAGGCAGCAGUGGGGGGUAUUGCACAAUGGGGGAAACCCUGAUGCAGCGAUGCCGCGUGAAUGAAGACGGCCUUCGGGUUGUAAAGUUCUGUCGCAGGGGACGAAAAUGACGGUACCCUGCAAGAAAGCUCCGGCUAACUACGUGCCAGCAGCCGCGGUAAUACGUAGGGAGCAAGCGUUGUCCGGAAUUACUGGGUGUAAAGGGAGCGUAGGCGGGAGGAUAAGUUGAAUGUGAAAUCUAUGGGCUCAACCCAUAGCUGCGUUCAAAACUGUUCUUCUUGAGUGAAGUAGAGGCAGGCGGAAUUCCUAGUGUAGCGGUGAAAUGCGUAGAUAUUAGGAGGAACACCAGUGGCGAAGGCGGCCUGCUGGGCUUUUACUGACGCUGAGGCUCGAAAGCGUGGGUAGCAAACAGGAUUAGAUACCCUGGUAGUCCACGCGGUAAACGAU
rnacentral:rRNA from 1 species